UAAUAAAAGGGCUUGGGUCAGCUGUGAGUUGUGUGUAUAGAGAAUAUAAAUCUUGUCUCUCCCAAAAUACAGGUGUUGGUGUUGCUGCCUUAUAACUUUUAUGAAAAUUUUAGGGCUUUUUCUUGUAUAGCAUAAUCUAUGGGUUGGACAACCAACUGACAUCUAGUAAAUAACGCUGUAAAUAUCCCUUGUCUGAAUGCUGUCCUAGCUGUCCUAUCAGGCCUGUAAAAACUAAUGUCAUGUUGUAAACUAGACCAGAACAGUAACUUGGCCUCUGCAGAUAGGGCCAGAGGGAAAAAAAAAAAAAAGAGUAACCUGACAUCAGCAAAAUAUUUAAAAUUAACCAUAGCUUUGCAUCUGAACUGAUAGAACUAGUCUUAAUCACUUGGGUUAUGAAAACAGAAGAAUGGCAUUACCUCUAUUUUCAACCCAGAGAUGGACAAAUUUUUUGUAUCCUAAAGCUCCAUAUUGCCUGACUGUUCAAUGUAUUGUAUUAAGAACUGCAUAUUCAGUGGUGACACUCAGACUGCAUUCAAGCUACAUCAGCACAUUUAGUGAAAGUCUUUUAAGGGGACUACAUCCAUACUAUCAAUAUUCAGAGAGCUUCAGUAUGCACACUACUGACAUUAUUGAAGAGACACAAAUAUCUUUUAAUGUAAUCAAUUACAACUAACUACUUAGUUUAUUUGGGUGAAUGAGUUUGUGGAUGACAAAAGGAGUCAGGCAAACGCAGCUGGAAAUUCUAAAUAUGAUGUCUGUAUUACAAAUUUAAAGGCAGUAACAGUUUCCAAUUUUCCUUUGCAAUAGUUAAAACUUUAUACCUGGUUUAGGUAGUUAACAAAUUUCUGCCCCUUCAGGAUUAGUGUGGAUUGCUUUCAUGGUAUAUUACUUUCAUUUUCAACUAAACAAUUUGCCUGAAAAAUAGCUAUUUGUUUUCCUUCAUUAACAUUUUCUUGUAUUUUUUUUUUCUUGUCCCAACGUACAAGAGUGCAUUUGUUAAUUAAGGUGUCCAACUUCUUAUUAAGGUAGUUCAAGAAAAGAUAACUAAGGAAUUUAUUGUGAGGUGAAAAAUAUUUCACAAUAAUUAUUGUGAAAAUUAGUCUUCUUGGCUAUUGAUGGUGCACUUGUCUGUUCUUGAGAAUAGACUACUCUUCCCUGUACCUAUGUUGUCUUAACCAUCCCUGAAAACAUAGCUAUUCUGAACAGACUUGACCAAGUGGUCCCAUAUUUAUAGAAUCAUAGAAUAUCUGAGUUGGCAGGUACCCACAAGGAUCAUUGAGUCUAACUCCUGGGUUCCCAAAGGACCACCCAAAAAUCAGACCAUGUGUCUGAGAGCAUUGUCCAAAUGCUUCUUGAACUCAGGCAGGCUGGGUGCCAUGACCACUUUCCUGGCUAACCUGUUCCAAUUCCUGAUCACCUUCUCGGUGAAGAACCUUUUACUGAUAUCCAGCCUGAACCUUCCCUGUUGCAAUUUCAUGCUGUUCCCUUAGUCCCCGCUGUCCCCAUGCUGUCCCCACUAGUGACAAGAGAGGAGAGAUCUGUGCCUGCCUCUCCGCUCUGCCUAUUCAUCUCCUUUUAUUUUUUCUGUGAACACAACAUUCAGAUUAGGAGGGUUAUAUGUAGAAAUACCAGUACUGAAUUCUUUCAUGACUUGCUAUCCAUCACUGCAAAGG
rnacentral:lncRNA from 1 species